rnacentral:rRNA from 1 species
GAUGAACGCUGGCGGCGUGCCUAAUACAUGCAAGUCGAGCGAACAGACGAGGAGCUUGCUCCUCUGACGUUAGCGGCGGACGGGUGAGUAACACGUGGAUAACCUACCUAUAAGACUGGGAUAACUUCGGGAAACCGGAGCUAAUACCGGAUAAUAUAUUGAACCGCAUGGUUCAAUAGUGAAAGACGGUUUUGCUGUCACUUAUAGAUGGAUCCGCGCCGCAUUAGCUAGUUGGUAAGGUAACGGCUUACCAAGGCGACGAUGCGUAGCCGACCUGAGAGGGUGAUCGGCCACACUGGAACUGAGACACGGUCCAGACUCCUACGGGAGGCCGCAGUAGGGAAUCUUCCGCAAUGGGCGAAAGCCUGACGGAGCAACGCUGCGUGAGUGAUGAAGGUCUUCGGAUCGUAAAACUCUGUUAUUAGGGAAGAACAAAUGUGUAAGUAACUAUGCACGUCUUGACGGUACCUAAUCAGAAAGCCACGGCUAACUACGUG